rnacentral:rRNA from 1 species
GAUGAACGCUAGCGGCAGGCUUAAUACAUGCAAGUCGAGGGGCAACAGGGGUAGCAAUACCUGCUGGCGACCGGCAAACGGGUGCGGAACACGUACAGAACCUUCCUUUAAGCGGGGGAUAGCCCAUAGAAAUGUGGAUUAAUACCCCAUAGUAAUAUUGACUGGCAUCAGUUGAUAUUUAAAGAUUUAUCACUUAAAGAUGGCUGUGCGGCUGAUUAGGUAGUUGGGCGGGUAACGGCCCACCAAGCCAGCGAUCAGUAACUGGUGUGAGAGCACGACCAGUCACACGGGCACUGAGACACGGGCCCGACUCCUACGGGAGGCAGCAGUAAGGAAUAUUGGUCAAUGGACGCAAGUCUGAACCAGCCAUGCCGCGUGAAGGNUGAAGGCCCU